rnacentral:misc_RNA from 1 species
GAUGAAGAACGCAGCGAAAUGCGAUACUGGGUGUGAAUUGCAGAAUCCCGUGAACCAUCGAGUCUUUGAACGCAAGUUGCGCCCGAAGCCAUUAGGCCGAGGGCACGCCUGCCUGGGCGUCACACGUCGUUGCCCCCCCAUCUACUCCUUCGGGAUUGCGGGGGGCGGAUGAUGGCCUCCCGUGCGCCUCGUCGCGCGGUUGGCAUAAAUGCCAAGUCCUCGGCGACGCACGCCACGACAAUCGGUGGUUGCGAAACCUCGGUUGCCCGUCGUGUGCGGUCGUCGCGCAUCGAGGGCUCGAAAAAAUUGUCGGGCUCCGGCUCGGCUUUCAACGCGACCCCAGGUCAGGCGGGGUUACCCGCUGAAUUUAAGCAUAUCAAUAAGCGGAGGA